rnacentral:tRNA from 1 species
GCCGCGGUGGUGAAAUUGGUAUACACGCUGGUCUUAGGAACCAGUGCCUAUGGCGUGAGAGUUCGAGUCUCUCCCGCGGCA